rnacentral:rRNA from 1 species
GUCGAACGAUGAACCACUUCGGUGGGGAUUAGUGGCGAACGGGUGAGUAACACGUGGGCAAUCUGCCCUUCACUCUGGGACAAGCCCUGGAAACGGGGUCUAAUACCGGAUAACACUCCCGCACUCAUGUGCGGGGGUUAAAAGCUCCGGCGGUGAAGGAUGAGCCCGCGGCCUAUCAGCUUGUUGGUGAGGUAAUGGCUCACCAAGGCGACGACGGGUAGCCGGCCUGAGAGGGCGACCGGCCACACUGGGACUGAGACACGGCCCAGACUCCUACGGGAGGCAGCAGUGGGGAAUAUUGCACAAUGGGCGAAAGCCUGAUGCAGCGACGCCGCGUGAGGGAUGACGGCCUUCGGGUUGUAAACCUCUUUCAGCAGGGAAGAAGCGAAAGUGACGGUACCUGCAGAAGAAGCGCCGGCUAACUACGUGC